rnacentral:rRNA from 1 species
UGCAAGUCGAACGAAGCGCUUAAACGGAUUUCUUCGGAUUGAAGUUUUUGCGACUGAGUGGCGGACGGGUGAGUAACGCGUGGGUAACCUGCCUCGUACAGGGGGAUAACAGUUAGAAAUGACUGCUAAUACCGCAUAAGCGCACAGUGCUGCAUGGCACAGUGUGAAAAACUCCGGUGGUAUGAGAUGGACCCGCGUCUGAUUAGCUAGUUGGUGGGGUAACGGCCUACCAAGGCGACGAUCAGUAGCCGGCCUGAGAGGGUGAACGGUCACAUUGGGACUGAGACACGGCCCAAACUCCUACGGGAGGCAGCAGUGGGGAAUAUUGCACAAUGGGGGAAACCCUGAUGCAGCGACGCCGCGUGAGCGAAGAAGUAUUUCGGUAUGUAAAGCUCUAUCAGCAGGGAAGAAAAUGACGGUACCUGACUAAGAAGCACCGGCUAAAUA